UUAGUAUUCGUUCGAACACCGUUCAGUCACGGCGUACAGAAAAAAAAGGUCGACGUUGGAAAGCGUCGCAAAAAGCCGAAUAAUAAAAAAGACUCUGCACCCAUUGAAUUAAAUUGGAUAAACAGUCGACUGUGUGAUAUUCAACGCAUCAACUGUACAAAAGUCUAAACGGAAUAACAGAUACAAAAGUUUUUAAAUUCAAUACAAUUUGUUUUUUGUCCGUAAUUUAAAACGUUAUAAAAUCACAAUGUGCAAGUGUUUAGCUGGCCAAGUUGCAUGCUGCUGUUGCAGUUGUGCUUUGAAUAUGCUGUUGUCGGUGAUUUGCAUCGUUCUUGUGAUAGCUGCCAUUGUUGCAGCCGGCGUAUAUUUCGGUGCUAUCAAGGAAAAGGACCUGAAUGGAAACUUGGAAAAUUUAAAAAAUUCAGUUAACAGUGGAGUGGAGGGCAUUAAAACCCAAUUGAACAAAUUCAACGAAUAAACAAUUCAUUUUGUAUCAGCAAACUACCUUAACACGUUCCUCAAUGCCAAUUGUACGCUCCCAUCUUGAGUUUUUAUUUAUGAUACCACAUUUUGAAGGAUAUAAUUUAUACAUUUUUCGCGAUGCCAAAUUGAAUCUUUUUGUUGCUUUUGCUUUAUUUGUCUGCACAUUAUCCAAGGCCGUAAAUUGCACGUCAUUUGUGACGAGAAAAAUAUAUAGGAAGCGAAUCUGAAGCAUUCACACAGCAUACUAAUCAAAAUGGACCACAAACGAGGACACAUCACAGCACAUUAUUUCUCACCGAAUACUUAACCGAUCCAAUAUGAAAAGUACAAACAUUUAAAUGCAUUUAAACAGUAAAACAUUUUUCAAAAUGUCUCUUUGCAAAACAGAUAGCUUACAAACCUUUAAAACAUCUUCAAAAAUGUCAUGAACCAUACAACUAAUUAAUAAUUUAUGUCCAUAAAUACAAAACAAAAACAGUUGACUUAUCGAAUACAUAUAGGAAAUGAUUUAGUUCGUCGUCAAAAUUUAUAUUUCACAUAAAUAUUUUACAAAAAAAAAAAAAAAAAAAUAAA